CGCGUGGACGAUGAAGGCCUUCGGGUUGUAAAGUCCUUUCAAGAGGGAAGAGUAAGGACGGUACCUCUUGAAUAAGCCUCGGCUAACUACGUGCCAGCAGCCGCGGUAACACGUAGGAGGCGAGCGUUAUCCGGAUUUAUUGGGCGUAAAGCGCACGCAGGCGGUCGAGUAAGUCGGGUGUGAAAGCCCCGGACUUAAUCCGGGGAGGUCAUUCGAUACUGCUUGACUUGAGAGCGGGAGAGGGAAGUGGAAUUCUCGGUGUAGUGGUGAUAUGCGUAGAUAUCGAGAGGAACACCAGUGGCGAAGGCGGCUUCCUGGCCCGUUUCUGACGCUCAGGUGCGAAAGCGUGGGGAGCGAACGGACUUAGAUACUCCGGUAGUCCACGCCGUAAACGAUGGGUACUAGGUGUGGGGGACGUACAGUUCUCCGUGCCACAGCUAACGCAUUAAGUACCCCGCCUGGGGACUACGGCCGCAAGGUUAAAACUC
rnacentral:rRNA from 1 species